UUAACUUCAGGGUGACACGGCGUGACUGUAUGAUGCGUGAUGAUGUGGGCGUGGCACACGUCAGCCAUAGCUCAUCGUGAUGCAACAUAAGCACGCUGGAAAACCCACGGAGGGAACAUAUAUACUAUUUGUCAAAAAAAGCUGGUUUUGCUAAAAAAAUCAGUUAGAAAAUCGUUUCCUAUUAACCUGUUGCUAAUAUUCGGUAUCCAAAUCUUUCGCCCAAAAAAUAAUAAAAAUCGGUAUCCAUACAACCACGAAAGACGCGCCUGACCAUCUUAUAUAUCUUUCCCUUAUAUAUAUAUACUAAUAAAGCAGCUAAUGCUUCUGCCCGUACGUCGUUGGCGUUUUUGCGCAAAAGCCCUUCUAUUUCUUUGAAAUAAGCCCGCAGUCCCUGUUUAAGUGGCACUCUGGAAAAACGUUUCAUGUUUGCGCGACAUCACGGGGACGACGCCACCGCCCCGGCGCCUGCCAGAUCCAAGCGGGGAAGGGGAGGAGGGGGCAUCCCAGCGGUGGUGAAGCUUGGCGGAGUAGGGGGCGGGUCGGCCUGCUGGUUUGCCGACACUGGAAAGGCUCGUGGCAGGGAGCUCCUCUCCUCUGCUUUGGGAGGUGGCUGAAGCGCUCGGGCUGCAGAGCUGCUUUGUACAGAGUUUGUUCUUCAAUUAAAUUGUCCCACCUCGCUGAUAUACAUAUAUUCUCACCAAUUUAUAUGUGUACGAGAGUUGCCAUGAGAAUCAACAAGCCACAUUAGAAAUCGAAACCAGCAGAGAAAGGGAACAGAAGGAAUCGCCAAAGCGUGAAGGAGCGAAGAAAAUGGAACAGAGUCCACCGAGCGAACACCACCACCACCGGCGAGAAGGCCGGGUCCAGGCGGCAGACGGAUCAAGACGGGGAGGCGGCGACCUCCAUUGGCAGACUCCCUGAAGAAAACGUGUGAGAGGGAUUAGAGAUAGAAGGGGAAGAGAGGAUGAGAGAGGGCGGGUGGGGGUCGGGCGUCGGCCUUGGCGGCCUGCUUGCGCGCGGUUGGAGGAGGCAGGGCCCCCUUACCUUGAUCUGGAGCCACAACCCCUACGCAUGUGGAGGACAGGAGUAGGGAAUCGGUGGAUGCGAACCUUGUUGGUCGGGGGCAAGGCCUGCUCUGGCCAGAUCCGGAGCAUGGGGCGCCAGAUCCGGAGCAUGGGGCAGCAACUGAGCCGGGGAGGCUAGAUCGAGGAGCUCCAAAACGCAAUCCAUCCUCUGCUGGAGUUCCUCACCGACAGAGAAGAGGGGGUUGAUGCUGCCCUGAUAGAGAAGAAGAGAAGGGACAACGUCAGAUGGAUGUAGAAGAAGCAAUGUGUUGUGUGGAUAAGGGGGCACGUAGUGGGAAGUGGGCGGUGGGUGUUGUCGCUACAUGUUGUGCUUGGAUCGGAAGCUGCUGGAUUG
rnacentral:lncRNA from 1 species